GGUUGUGCGAGGACGAAAAGUGUUCCCACCUACGCCUCCAUCUUGGCGGAUGUAGUCAACAUUUCUUAAGCACUUACAAUGUGCCAGGCACUGAGCAGAGAGAUUUACUUCUAUUAUCUCUUUAAUCUUCAAUCAUUUUAUGAAGGAAUCUUGAUAUGAUGCCUACCUUCUGUUUUAGGAUUUUCUGAAUGAAACUGCUAUGAAGACACAUGUGAAAAUCUGAAUGAACAUGUUUUUAUUUUUCUUGGGUCAAUGCUUAGAAGGGGAAUUGUUGGAUUAUGUGAUGCCUGGUUUAUUGGAGUUAUUUUUGUGAACAGAGUAAGACAGGCCCUGCUCUAAGCUCUUUUUAUGGAUCAUCUCACUUACAAAGCUCAUGAGCUCCUCCAGCCUGCUCAUGGAAGACUGCAAUGUUAUUUGGAAUUGCCAGGACUGACUGCAUUCAACUACUUCACCUGGGACUGCAGUCACCUGUAGAUUUGGCUAAAACAUUAAGAAGGCCCAUCACAUGGCUGGCAGUUGGUAUUGGCCAUUGGCUGGAGGCUUGGCUGGGACUGUUGACUGGAACUUCUUGGUUCUUCUCCAUGUGUCCUUUCCACCUUGACUGGGCUUCUAACAGCAUAACAGCUGGAUUCCAAGAGAGAGUAUUUCAAAUAUUCACUCCAAAGCAGAAGCCAGAGAUAUCUUAUGAUCUAGCUUUAUAAGUUACACAAUGUCACUUCUGUAGGCCAAAGCAAGUCAGAGGCCACCCCAGUUCAAGGGAGGGAGAAGAUUCUAUCUCUUGAUGGGAGGAACUGCUAAAAAUUUGGGCAAUCUUUAACAUAUCAUAGGGGAAGGUGAAAUCAUAAGGGGAUAAUUGAUGGAUUCACUGAGAAAAUGGCAGGACUUGGGACCCAGGGCGCAGUUUUGGCUUGAGAGAGAAGAGGGCCUUGGAAUGUGGAUCUGGGAGGGUAAGGUCAUCUUACAUUUCAUCAAAAAGAUCUGAGCAGGGCAACAAGCUACAAGGUUCUAGGUUGUAUAAACAACUUCAAUUUUUCCUCCUCCCUUUUCAGGAUAGAUAGUUAAGUAGAGAGAAGUUCUCAAGAACAACACAUAUUAUUGAGAGCUAAUAUGUGGCCUUCAUCAAUUCUCUCAAUGGUCAUAUGAGGUCAAUUGAGGUCAAUGUCAUGAUGCCCAUUUUACAGAUAAAGCAACUGAGGCUCAGAAAAUCUUUCUCUCUCUCUGAGUUUACAUGAAUGUGUUGAUUAUCUGCACAUAAAAGAUAUUUGCUCUCUCCUAUCUGAGGAGCAUGAAGGUGUCAGAACAGUACCUUAAAGAAAGGAACCCAUAAUAGACAUGGAGUGAAAUUCUCAUCCCAGCAGAAAGACUCAGGGAAUGGGGGCAUCAGCUCAGGCUCUGUCAGCCUGAAAGGUUCUUGGGAUGGGAUGGAGCCUGGGACUGUGAGAUGCAAACCUCUCAGGACAAGAGGACAGGGAGGAAGAAGAUGCUUGGCUGCAGAAACCAGGGGCUGGUGACCACCAUUCUCACUACCCUAA